UGGAUGGUAAAAUACAAUGGUUACGAUACUAAUUUUGGAAGGCAAAUUACAGUGCUCAUUAGUUUACAUGAGCACAAACUCAUGCACCAAAGCGUACACCAAGGCGAUAAUAAUUAGCUUUAAACAAAAUAUGAUGUUCCUUGCAUACAAAUUAGUAUUUUUUUCAAAAACUUUAGAUUGAAUUCUGGAAUUAAAUAAAAUGCCAUACACAUUGACGCAUAUUUAUGGAUCUUAGUUAUUUGAUGGGGAAGAUAGACGUGGAGAUAAAUGACAUUCGUAUCAAGCUUAACAAUGAACAACACUAUUUCCCAUAGUUGUUUGUGAGAGAUAUAGGUAUUCAAAUCACAAUGUGUAAAAGAGGUGAACUAACAAAGGAAACCAUCAUACUUAAAAAAACGUAAAGGUAAGCAUGGAGAUGAUAUUGUUGUUAGGAGCAUUGCAUAUUACCAUGAUGUGCGAGGGGUCUAGCCCAGCCAAGUCUGCAACAGUUGCUUAUGUUAGCUCACAUCGAUUCUGCUCCAUCACUUGUGAUUUAAGGUGAUAGGGUGUUCUGCUGGUUGCAUAGUUGCAAUAGUAAUUAGUUUGCAGACCUAAUAUAAAGUUGUUACUAAGAAAUACUCCUCCGUCCCAAAAUGAGUGUCACACAUUUAACUCUAAGUUAUGCGAGCAGAAUGAUACAACUGGGACAAUCCUAAACAUCAUCCAACUAUGUAAUUUUGGCAUUGCUGAAACAGAAGACAUACGUCUUCUAUCAGUGCUAGCCAAAGAGAUAUCAAUUUUAUGCAGAAACCUAAUUAGUAGAUCAUAAGAAGCCCAUGACUCUAGCGCGUGCUUGCAUAGAAAAUUUUGAUGUGAGGUAGUAUACCUCUAUCAGGACUUCGAGGUGUUGAGAGCUAACUUAGAGUGCAGAUUCAGAGGAGAAAACUGAAACAUGUCCUACUAAAGAACUUCCCUAUGUUGCAAAACAAACAACAUGGUAUCAACCUUUCUCACUGACAGUAAAGAACAACAAAUCAUUUAGUUGAUCAAACUUGUCCUGAAUAAAAAAGUUAGUUGAAACCACACAACGAAUUCUUGGAAUUUUAUUUGAAGCGUGAAGCAGUUUUCUGCACUCAUGCACUGCUUGAGUGCAUGACCAUUCUAAUUAACUAUCUACAUAUCAAUCAACGAAUAAAUUGAGGGAGAAUAGGGGUACUUUGCCUCACCUAUGGGAGUAUCUUCGUAGAUGAUUGGAGUGACAAGUUGAGGGUCCAAC
rnacentral:lncRNA from 1 species